UUGCGUUAUUCGAGCGGCCGAUAUCUGAUUAGCUAGUUGGUGGGGUAAAGGCCUACCAAGGCGACGAUCAGUAGCGGGUCUGAGAGGAUGAUCCGCCACACUGGGACUGAGACACGGCCCAGACUCCUACGGGAGGCAGCAGUGGGGAAUUUUGGACAAUGGGCGCAAGCCUGAUCCAGCCAUGCCGCGUGUCUGAAGAAGGCCUUCGGGUUGUAAAGGACUUUUGUCAGGGAAGAAAAGGACAGGGUUAAUACCUCUGUCUGAUGACGGUACCUGAAGAAUAAGCACCGGCUAACUACGUGCCAGCAGCCGCGGUAAUACGUAGGGUGCGAGCGUUAAUCGGAAUUACUGGGCGUAAAGCGAGCGCAGACGGUUACUUAAGCAGGAUGUGAAAUCCCCGGGCUCAACCUGGGAACUGCGUUCUGAACUGGGUGACUAGAGUGUGUCAGAGGGAGGUAGAAUUCCACGUGUAGCAGUGAAAUGCGUAGAGAUGUGGAGGAAUACCGAUGGCGAAGGCAGCCUCCUGGGAUAACACUGACGUUCAUGCUCGAAAGCGUGGGUAGCAAACAGGAUUAGAUACCCUGGUAGUCCACGCCCUAAACGAUGUCAAUUAGCUGUUGGGCAACUUGAUUGCUUAGUAGUGUAGCUAACGCGUGAAAUUGACCGCCUGGGGAGUACGGUCGCAAGAUUAAAACUCAAAGGAAUUGACGG
rnacentral:rRNA from 1 species